ACCUCCUUGGCUGCUCUGGCCUUUGAGUUAUGCUCUAAGAUUAUCGAUUACUUUUCCGUUGUUGCUUAUUUCCCACAGCAGCAGAAUGAGAACGGUUAUUAGUUAAUAGCCAUCAGAGACAGACCAAGUGGAACACAGUCCUCGGAAAAACGCCACUCUGUAGCAUUAGUAAUUAAAACCUCACAAGGUUUGUAUUUCCUGAAGGAGGCCGUCAGUGUCAAUGCUGUACUAACGACGGUACUGUACACUUCUCAGUCCUUUAUGUGGAGCUGGGGGCAGGAAGAAUUGCUUCUGGAAGCUGAUGGAGUUGGACAUGUGGCUUUCUAGAAUCUGUGCCCAGCUUGUCAAGAAGUUGAAUCGGUGCAACCAGCGUUUGUGAAAGCAGCAUUUCCCAUUUCACAUAAAGUCAGCUUCUGGCCAACUGGACAAGUCUGAACAAAUAUGAAACCCACUAAAAGGCCAGUGACAGGUGCACACACUACUGACUCUGGCUAGAGGCUGUGGCAGGAAUUGGACUCAUGUCAUCCAGCGACAGUUCCACCAGCAUCUCUUGUGGCUUCCCAAGGACCAGCCUGAGGCAAACUCCUCAGUGGUGUGAAGACUUUCCAUGUCACUGGAAACCCACCACAGAGUUCUACCAAGUAACCAUGCCUCCACCAGUCCACAACAAACUUUUAAGGCCUCUCCAGUUAUGCCUGCAACCAUCCCACAUUAGCAACCUAAGUAGGCCACCAGUAGAGCUGGUCAAGAGAAAGGAUAGGUUCAAUUAAUUAUUUUUUAAUUAAAAAAAAAUAGAGACAGGGUCUUGUUAUGUUGCCGAGGCUGGUCUUGUACUCCUGAGCUGAAAUUAUCUUCCCGCCUCAGUCUCCCAAAGUGCUGAGAUUACAGGUGUGAGCCACCGUACUCAGCCAGAUAGAUUCAAUUUUUAAAACUUUAUUGCCAUUACUGUUCAGUAACCCCUUGAUAUGGUUGAAUAUUUGUCCCCUCCAAAACUUAUGCUGAUAUCUAAUCCCCAAUGUGACACUAUUGAGAGCUGGGGCUUUUAAGAUGUGAUUAGGUCAUGAGGGCUCCACCUUCUGAAUGGAUUAAUCCAUUCAUGGAUUAAUGAGUUCAUGGGUUAAUAGAUUAAUUUAUCUUGGGAGUGGGAUUAGUGGUUUUAUAAGAAGAGUGAGACCUCAGCUAGCAUAUUAGCACUCAGCUCCCUUGGCAUGUGAUACCACCUUGGGACUCUGCAGAGAGUUCCACCAGCAAGGCCUGUACCAGAUGCAGCCCCUUGACCUUGAACUUUUCAGCUUCCAGAACUGUAAGAAAUAGGCCAGGCAUAGUGGUUUACACCUGUCAUCCCACCACUCUGAGAGGCCAAGGCCAGUGGAUUGCUUGAGCCCAGGAGUUUGAGGCUUCAGUGAGCUAUGAUCAUGCCAUUGCACUC
rnacentral:lncRNA from 1 species